GCCGCAGUAGCUCAGUUGGUAGAGCACAUCAUUCGUAAUGAUGGGGUCGGGGGUUCGAGUCCCUUCUGCGGCACCA
rnacentral:tRNA from 1 species